AUACGGGGGGGGCUAGCGUUGUCCGGAAUUAUUGGGCGUAAAGGGCGCGUAGGCGGAAUGGUAAGUCAGUGGUGAAAAUCCAGGGCUCAACCCUGGACCUGCCUUUGAUACUGCCAUUCUUGAGUGCGAGAGAGGAAAGUGGAAUUCCCGGUGUAGCGGUGAAAUGCGUAGAUAUCGGGAAGAACACCGGUAGCGAAGGCGGCUUUCUGGCUCGCAACUGACGCUGAGGCGCGAAAGCGUGGGGAGCAAACAGGAUUAGAAACCCGAGUAGUCC
rnacentral:rRNA from 1 species